GACGUAGGGCGCGAGCGUUGUCCGGAUUUAUUGGGCGUAAAGAGCUCAUAGGCGGCUUGUUGCGUCAGCUGUGAAAACCCGCAGCUCAACUGUGGGCUUGCAGCUGAUACGGGCAGGCUUGAGUUCGGUGAGGGGAGACUGGAAUUCCUGGUGUAGCGGUGAAAUGCGCAGAUAUCAGGAGGAACACCGGUGGCGAAGGCGGGUCUCUGGGCCGAUACUGACGCUGAGGAGCGAAAGCGUGGGGAGCGAACAGG
rnacentral:rRNA from 1 species